rnacentral:rRNA from 1 species
CCAUGCAUGUCUAAGUAUAAGCAAUUAUACAGCGAAACUGCGAAUGGCUCAUUAUAUAAGUUAUCGUUUAUUUGAUAGUGCCUUACUACUUGGAUAACCGUGGUAAUUCUAGAGCUAAUACAUGCUAAAAACCCCGACUUCGGAAGGGGUGUAUUUAUUAGAUACAAAACCAAUGCCCUUCGGGGCUCCUUGGGUGAUUCAUGAUAACUAUACGAAUCGCACGGCCUUGCGCCGGCGAUGGUUCAUUCAAAUUUCUUCCCUAUCAACUUUCGAUGUUUGGGUAUUGGCCAAACAUGGUUGCAACGGGUAACGGAGGGUUAGGGCUCGACCCCGGAGAAGGAGCCUGAGAAACGGCUACUACAUCCAAGGAAGGCAGCAGGCGCGCAAAUUACCCAAUCCCGACUCGGGGAGGUAGUGACAAUAAAUACUGAUACAGGGCCCUUUCGGGCUUUGUAAUUGGAAUGAGUACAAUUUAAAUCCCUUAACAAGGAACAAUUGGAGGGCAAGUCUGGUGCCAGC